rnacentral:tRNA from 1 species
GGCGUGGUGGCGGAGUGGUUAUCGCGCAAGACUAGAAAUCUUGUUCCUUCGGGAGCGCAGGUUAGUCUUGCCUUAACUGAGAGUAUCUAGCUCGAAACUAAUCUUCCCUAGGUUCGAAUCCUGCCUACGUCG